rnacentral:lncRNA from 1 species
CUCAUCCCUAGUUCUGUGCUGAUUGGUUUGUCCUGUGUCACAUGUUUGUAAGUGUUCAGACUGCUGAGCCUCACAAUGUGGUGAGUCUUCAAAUUAUUUCUCCAGACAUUCUUAGAUAGUCUCUGUCUGCCUUUAUAUUGGCCACAAAACUCUCAGUUUUGGUAACUCGGUGACAGACAGUUUUUGGGGAUUGCUUUGGCACACAGCAUUUUGCCUAAAAGUGACAUUGCGUUCUUUCUGCUUAAUUUUCACGAGAGAGCACGGGACCUGGUGAUGCACUGACCUGGCAGCUGUGGCGGUGGUGACACUAAGUGUGGGCCCUUCCCAUGCGUUUCUUUGUAAGCUGGCUGUCACCAGGAGGUCACUGUAGAUCCGUCUGGUGUACCGCCACCUCAGAGAGACGGUUAACCAAGAUGGUUACGUACUAGUUCACUGGGAAACGCAGACUAGGGUAUCCUUUGAGAAAGUUCUGGGUUUGAGUGGCUUUGAGAAGAAAAUCUCCAGCAGGGGAUGAAAGCACCUAAUUGAAGAACGGAGUCCGUGGUCCAUGCAGCGCCUGAGGCACCUUGAGGCAUCAGGAGAAGCGCUCUGCGCAGACUCCUCGCAGGUGCCCCC